rnacentral:lncRNA from 1 species
GAGCUUCCCAGCAGCUUUGUUUACCUAAGCAAGCCUGGGCAAUGGCGGGCGCCCCUCCCCCAGCCUCGCUGCUGCCUUGCAGUUUGAUCUCAGACUGCUGUGCUAGCAAUCAGCGAGACUCCGUGGGCGUAGGACCCUCCGAGCCAGGUGUGGGAUGUAAUUUCGUGGUGCGCCGUUUUUUAAGCCCGUCGGAAAAGCGCAGUAUUCGGGUGGGAGUGACCCGAUUUUCCAGUGAGAUGAACCCGGUACCUCAGAUGGAAAUGCAGAAAUCACCCAUCUUCUGCGUCGCUCACGCUGGGAGCUGUAGACCUGAGCUGUUCCUAUUCGGCCAUCUUGGCUCCUCCCCCCAGGUGUCCAGAAUUAUCACUGGUACAGGAGCAUAUUUAUGUUAAUUUCUUAUUUUGGAUAUUCCUGAACAUUGAAGAUUUUGAAGCUAGUACAAAUUUGAACCACACACUUGUUCAUGAAACAGGCUCAGAGUACAAAUUCUUCAGGAACUCAAGCAGAGAUAGCAAAACCUAAGUUUCAGAAACAGAAUAAGAUGGUUGAAGACUUUCAUUAUCUUUCUGAAUUGUAGAGUUUAUCAACUGUAUAAAUGUUUUGCCUCAAUGGGAGGAGGUAUUAUGACUGAAUUGUACCUUCAAUAAACCUCUUGCCAGUGCUGGAGAAAAAUUUCCUUGGGCUGGGCAGCUUAGCCACACCUAAGAAAACAAUGAAUGUGAAAGCACUUUAAGAGUGAAGUUCUGUGUGGAGUCCUCAUGGUGAACAUUAUGCUCUGCACUAGGCUAUGAAAUGAUGAUGGCCAACCAUGGAUAGAAGCUAGUGGGGCUUUCUACUCUGCUUAAACUGUUCCCAUUCCAAUGUGCAAAACACUGCUCAAGAGUUUCCUUGUUGGAGACUGACAGACAGAAAAGAAGAAGAAUGCAUUGUGUUCUCAGAGAAACCCAGACAAGAAAAGAUUGGAGCUGCUGAGCUGAGAGCACUGAGAACUGAGAGCACUCAAUCUUUUAUGUCCUUUUGGAGGUACAGCAUGGGAGAAAUGGGAUCACCUGGUAGUAGGACUCCAGUUGCUCCCAAUGCGACUUCCUGCCUUGGUGAAGUCUACUGGAAGGAGUGUUGACUCUGUUAGAGACGUACAAGUAGAGAGCUCCAGCAAGCUGGAAAUAGGAGUCUGUAGUCCAGCAGAGAAGUCAGGCUUGAAGAUACAAAUUGAGGAGUCAUCAAAGUAUGGAUGACAUUGGAAGAGAAGGAGCAAGAUGACAUGACUUCAAGAGUGGGUGCAGGUGGGCUGCUUCCCAUCAUGGAGGCGGUUGGAGCUGCUGACCUUGCCAAGAGAUAGGCAGACACAAA